ACAUAGGGAGGGAGAAAGGAGGCUCCAGGAAGAAUCGGAAUGAGAACUGAUGAGGACCUGAACUGCAGCAGGAGGAGAGAGAGUGGCGAGGACGUCUCACGUGUGAGGACGUCUCACGUGCUGUCAUGUCAUUUAUUGGCACCACCUUCAACACAACUACUCAAGCCCAGUUGCUGAGCAUCAUCUGGAAUCCUUUCACCUUCCCAUGCACAAUCCUUGAGAUCCGGAGAUGCUACCUCCAAAAGGCAACCAAAAAAUCUAACGACGACUCACUAUCUUCCCAUCUACUGUCCAGUUGUGUAUAUAUGCGUCUAUGGACCAGGUAGUGUGUCAAAGGUAUUUCUUAGCUGUAGGGUUGCAGCAAAAAAGUUUGGAAGCUAUUCAUUGCCCAUUAGGCAAUUAAAGAGUAAAGAUGUGGCCCCUGCCUACAUCUUUAAUCUCAUCUUCUGUCAUCUCCCCCUCUUUGCUCCUUUAGUCCCUGGAAAGUGGUAAGCUCUUUCCUGCCUUGGGGCCUUAGUAUUUGCUGUUAACUCUACCUGGAACAUUCUCCUUAUCUUUCCCAUGGCUGAUUCACUGCCAUCCUUCAAGUCUCAGUUUAAUGUCAUAUCCUCAGAGAGGCCCCCCAUCCAUAUUAUGUAAACCAUGUCUUCUUCCCAUCACUACACGCUAUGGUCUGAAAGUUUGCAUCUCCCCAAAAUUCAUAUAUUGAAACCUAAUCCCCAAUGCAAUAGGAUUAAGAGGCGGGACCUUUAGGAAAUAAUUAGGUCUUGAGGGUAAAGCCCUCAUGAAUGGGAUUAGUGCUUUUAUAUAAUAAAAGAGGCCUGAAGAAGCUUAUUAGCCCCUUCUGCCAUGUGAAGACUCAUAGAAAGUGCCAUCUAUGAGGAAGCAGGCCCUCACCAGACAUCAAUGCUGCUGCCUUGAUCUUGGGCUUCCCAGCCUCCAGAACUGUGAACAAUGAAUUUCUGUUGUUUAUAAGUUACCUAUCUAAGGUAUUUUGUUAUAACAGUCCAAAUGGACUAAGCCCUAAAGGACUUUUUCUAAUGAAUAGCUACAGGUUGAUUUACGAUCAGUUUUUUUAUGAGACUGUAAGCCUUCUGAGGUCAGUAAUGGUGUGUGUAUGUGACUGUACCCUGCAUCUGCAUCCUACUUUUACCUAACAAAAAGAGCCUCACAGAAAGCUUUGGCAAUUAAUGACAGCCUGUAGAGUUCUGUAUUCAUAGAAGCAGUAGGGGUACAUGCUGCAGUGGGUAGAAUUGUGUUCCCCAAAAAGAGAUGCUCAAGCCCUAACCCUGGUAUCUACGAAUGUGAUCUUAUUUGGAAAUAGGGUCUUUGCAGAUAUAAUUAGUUAAGAUCAGGUCAUACUAGAGUAGGAUGGGCCCUUAAUCCAAUAUGACUGGUGUCAUUAUAAGAAGAGGAAGAGAUACACAAGGGCACACACCAGGAGAAUGUCAUGUGACAAUGGAAGCAGAGAUUGGAGAGCUGUGUCUAUAAGCCAAGUAACAUCAAGGAUUGCUGGCAACACCAAAAGCUAAGAGAAAGGCGUGGAACGGACUCCCACCUUGAGCCUUCAGAGACAGCGUGGACCUACUGACACCUUGACUUCAGACUUCUAGCCAGAACUUUGAGAGAAUAAAUUUCUGUUUUUUAAGA